rnacentral:lncRNA from 1 species
CUGUGCACUCAUACUUCCACAAAGUGGAAAGAUAAGAGGCUCAGGGUUAGAACAUAUAUAAACUCAUGCCAGUGGUGAAUGGCUUGGGCAGCUGGACAGUGGCUGGAAAGAAGAAAUAUUAGAAAAUUAGAGUCAAGUGGAUCUGGGCUAGAGCAUGUAAAUAAACAUGAGAGUGGACACAAAGUAUGAAGCUGUUUGUGUCACAUGUUAAUGAUCACCAGAGCAUCCACCAUGGAAGAGACACUAAACAACCAAGGAAACAAAAUGACUUGGCUACUUGAUGUUAGCCAGCCUUUGUCAUCAGCCACCUCAGUGUUUGCACAAUGGGUGCAUGAACAGAAUACCCACGGCGACAGGGAAUGGAGGUUGUGAGUGGACCCAAAAAGAUGAACUUCUCUUACCAAAGCUGAUCCAGCUACUGCCACUGGCAAACUCCACCUUAGUAGACAAGAAGAGGAGUCAUCAACCUGUCGGAAGUAACUGACCUUUGAUGAUGAGGAAGAAGUGGGAGUGCUGUUAAGCGGGAGGACAGGGAGGAUAUGCUUGGUGCCCGGGAGAUCCACUUGGAUGCCUCUUGGUACUUCCUUGCCAAAUUGUGAUGGCAAAUGGACAAGUACAGAGAUUCUGGCUAGAGAAGGGCAUGGUACCCUGGGAAUGAGACUCAAGGUUUUAUGAGUUAUCCCUUAUCCCUUUAUCCCUUUAUGGGAUAAGGAUCUGGGGCAAACCAUGGGCAAACUACCAAGACCCGCAGAGGUGCUCUCUGAAGGGGAGGGGAGUUUUGAGUGGAUAGUGCAGGAGGGAGAUGAUGAGGCUCAGCCGCAGCCCUGACAUCAGCGCCUGUGCUGACGGCUGAAAUUCGUCCUGCUCGUCUUAUGCUUCUAAAUUUCCUGGAGUAAACAGGUCUGCUGGCAUCCAGGGUGAGGUGUUCCAGAAUGUACGUGAAGAAGUGGAUCUGAGCCGCACAAGACAAAACUGCUGUGAAAACCCUGGUCUCUUCGUUCUCUCUCACUGCAAGCUUCACUUUGGCUUUCUCCAAAUUGAAGGAAACGUGGCUGCCAAAAACGCUAAAGCUCACUGACAUCCUACAGACUUUGCCACCACAACGAUUUGACAUGAAGAGACAAUAGCUAUUCUACUCUCUGGGAGAAGAGUAUCUGCAAGAGAAAUAACAUCCAAGCUGAUGAAAUUGGCAAGGUACUGCUCUGAGGUCACACAGUACAUUGGAAUCUAGAUAGAUAAGAAUGAAAAGUAAGUGAUUAGAG